CGUCAGAAUUCAUUAUUCCUUAUGACCAAUACAUGGAGGCCACGAACAGUAUGGAGGCCAUGAACAGUAAUUUCUCAGUUGGCAUGAGAUUCAGGAUGAGAAUUGAGGGAGAAGCAGCCCCGGAGCAACGGUCUUCAUAUUCAUCACUUUUAACUUUAAAAUGGAUGGAUUAUGAUUUAAUAGAUAGCAAAGCAUUCAAUAAUCGUUCUAUGUUGGAUUAGGAUACAGUGAAUUUUGAAAUAUGCCCAGCGCUAUUUACUGGUACUAUCAUUGAAAUAGGUGAUUCUGAUCCCCUGAGGUGGCCGGGUUCAAAGUGGAGAUGCCUCAAGGUACAAUGGGACGCAACAUCAGCUGUUCCACG